AUUUCUAAAUCUUUCACAAAUAAGGCAUCAUCUCUUUACAGUAUGUACAACUCGAAUCAUUGUAUAACUUGAUCACUAGGGCUAAAAAUGUAUUACUGGGCUGUGGUGUUCUCUUAACGUAUAACUGCAUACUUUACAUUGUCUUUGUCAUAAUGAUCACUAUUUGUAUUUACACCUGUUAUUAUUCAAAUGAGCAAAGACAUAAUGCAAGUGAAGGAGGGGCCACCCCGUUGACGUUGUAACUAAUAACCACUCCUUAUAACGUCAAUUUGCAGUUUUGAUAAAUCACCUUCCAAAGACACAGUUUGUUACCUUUACGAAAAAUCACUGAGUGUGUUACUGUGCACAGAUUUUCACUUGAGACUGGAUGGUUAUGACUUUGAAGAAUAAACUAAGGUUUGCCUUUUCUAAAAAUCAUGGCACCAGAAAAACUACACUCCUCACCAUAUUAUGUAUAUGGUGGGUGCUUACCUGGACUGGUGCCCAAGCGACAACAGAACACCAGAAUCCUGAGACAUCUAAAAUGGAGAAAAUGAGGAUGAAUGAUGAUUUCAGGCAAAACACAAAUGCAACGCAUGAAUCCAAUAAAGAAACUUCCCAACAAUCUGCAGCUAUACACAUUGAAAAUGCCACAGGAGCUAGAGCUACCUCUCAUACUAAAAGUGAUACAAAACCAAUUAGAGCAUUAUCCACUACUGGUACAGCAGUACCUCCCAGGAGAGUCUCGAUCAAAAAUUCAACAGAAAAAACAAGCUAUACUACAACACUGGCUCCUAGACCUAUUGGAAAUUUACCAGUGAUGACUACUCACUCAACACCUGAUUCAAAUACAGCUAACGUAAAGCUGGUGUUCGACUGCUCAUUUCCUGUUCCCAGUGAGAGUAUGGUCUUGAAUGCUAUCCAAACUCUGCUGAUCUCUCGAUCUGCAAACAUCUCAGAUACAGUGAAAGUACUGGGCUUCUACUAUAAUAAAACCUCAGCCAACUCCUAUGAAGUUAAUUUCAUAAUCAACAUUAGUAUCAUCAUGCCAGAGAAGCAUGCCCUCAGGAAAAACACCUACAAGCAAAUCCAAACAUCCAUCAGCAACACACUAAACAUUUUAUUAAAUGAACCUGGUGCAGAACCAUUUGAACCCCAUACCUCCUACAUCAUGGAUGUGGACAUUGAAAUAGAGUACAAUUUUGGAUGUGGGGAUUGCAAACGACCAAUCAGCUUCCUAAAUGAAAUCAGUGCUUUAGCAACAACUCCAAGAACGACAACAGUUCCUCCAACAACUUCAAGACAUGAGAACAUAACUGGAACUGUAUACAUUUAUAUUAAGGUUAUAUUUGAGAACUUGACACAUGUACCUACCGAGGCUGAUGUUAUCAGUGCUGCUAAUGAUCUCCUGGAAUCAAACAAAUCAGUGAGAGAUCUUGGAAUAGAAGAACUGACUGACCCUGUCAGCAUAAAGAACAUCGCCUAUCAGAAAACGGGAAGCAACUCAUAUAGCAUAGACUUUGCAUUCAAAAUCAGCAAUGUGAGCAUGUCUGUGAUGACGGACCAGAGGAGCGCAACAUAUGAGUUAAUACAGUACAAAAUCAACAGCCUGAUGAACACAAUCUUGAAUGCCCCAACUGAGGCAUCAGUUAACUUCUCACAAGCAAAUUACACGGGUAAUGCUACAUUAAUAGAGGCAACUGAAAUAUACAUCUAUAGGGAGUGUGAUAUCAAGUCGACAAGUGAGUUUCUUCUUCAACUCCUAACACUUCAUACACCUCCUGCCAUUGGAUCAGCUGAGGUUCAAACCACCAUGGUGUUCAGCUCGUCCUCUCCUGUUCCCAGUGAGAGUUUGGUCCUCGGUGCUAUCACAGUUCUGCUUAACUCUCGACUCACAAACCUCACUGACUCUGUAACAGUGCUGAACUUCACCUAUGAGAAAAUAUCAGACACAUCCUAUGCAAUCAUUUUCAUAUUCAAGAUCAGUAACAUCAGCAUUCCAGAGAACCCUAACCUCAGGAACGAAACCCACAGCCAUGUAAAGAGCAUCAUCAAUGACGCUCUAAACAUGCUACUAAAUAGGCCUUGUGCAGUGCGAUUUGAAACCAACAAUUUCAACUUCACAAGAUCAGAAGAUAAGAUUGAUGGAUACAUGAACUACACUUUCCAACAAUCAGAAACCAAAAAACCAGCCAGCUUCUUCGAUGAACUCAAGAUUAUACCUGGUUUGGUUGUGGUCAAUACCACCCUGGUGUUCAACUCGUCCUCUCCUAUUACCUGUGAGAGUUUUUACCACAGUGCUCUCGAAGCUCUGCUGAACUCUAGACACACAAACCUUACUGAGUCUGUAAGAGUGCUGACCUGUGAGGAAAUUUCAAACACCUCCUACACAGUUAGCAUUAAAUUCAUCAGUAACAUCAGCAUGCCGAGCAACCCUGACCUCAGGAACGACACCUACACCCAAGUGGAGAACAUCAUCAAUAACGCAGUAAACACACUUCUAAACAAUUUUGGUUCAGAUCCAUUAAAACCCACUACCUCCAACUUCACGAGUUCAGAGAAUGAAGUUACUGGUUACAUGGAAUACAAUCUCAAAGUCUCCCUCAAUCAGACUGGGAAUGCUACAGUGCAGACUUCUCCAGAACCUCCAUCCACAAUCAACGGAUCAGCUGUGGUUCAAACCAUGCUGGUGUUCAACUCGUCCUCUCCUGUUUGCACUCAGAGUGUCAUUCCCAAGUUUAUCGCAUGGCUGAUUGAGUCUGAACUCAAUAAACAAAGUCAGAGUGUCGUUCUCCAUGUUCUCGAAGAUCUGCUGAACUCUACACUCAAAAACCUCACUGAGCCUGUAAAAGUGUUGAAUUACACCAUUGAGGAAAUUUCAAACACCUCCUACGCAGUUAACAUUACAUUCAGCAUCAGUAACAUCAGCAUGCCGAGUAACCCUGACCUCAGGAACAAUACCUACA
ensembl:lncRNA